UUUUUUUUUUAAAGCAUUAUUCCAAAACUAUUUUCCUCCUCCUACAUUUAUCACAAUGGAGCUUGUGCUAAAGGAUUUCUUGGCCAUUUUAGAGACUAAUCUAGUUAAAAGGUUUGUUUAUGCUUCCCAGCUCCGUGCUGCUGAUGGCAUUAGAAUGCUGGCCAGAGCCAGACAUCUAACUGUUUAUAACAUUCACAUUUCAAUUAAAGCUACAGUGUUUAGUUCACUGUGUAUCAGCAAGCCUAUACCAGCUAAAAGGAUUGCUGGUAAUGUUUGUGAUGAUUUUGUGUUGCAGUCGACUUUGCUAGAUUUUGCAGCUCCCAAGAAUAUAUUUUUUUAAUAUAGGAAGUGUUAGCAUUUAAAUCUUUUACAGAUAUAUAAAACAAGCAAUAAUAUAGUAUUUUCUAUUUAUUUUUGUAACAAUUUCUUUUGAAAAUAAUAAAGCCUAACUAUUUGCUUAAAUGGUCUAAGGGUUUUUGUUUUUGUUUUUUGUUUUUGUUUGAUUGUUUGUUUAUUUUAACUUUUCCCAUUCUGUCCUGGGGGUUGCUUUGCUCGUCAGUUGAUUCAGGUCCUGCUUCUAGUUUGAAGAACAGAAUGCCAUGCUGCUUUCCACACAUAAAACGAGGAGUCAUACGUUUCCAGGGUUUUUAUGUAUCUGAAAGGAGUCUAGGUGGUAAUGACAGUUUUUAAUUUAAUCCUACAUGCUUUCUAUCUUGUUCCUUUUGCUUGUUCUUAUUCUGUGGUUUAAGUAUGUUGUUAAAGGGUUUAGUUUUCUUUUUAUAAAGGUAUAAUGAAUUUAGUACUUCUGUAGCUGUUUAUCUGUUUUUGUAUAGCUUAUUGAGACUAGUCAGAAUUGUAUGUACAUUUAGGUUUUUUAUUUUAGUAGCCAUUUUUGCUAAAUUUAUUGCUUUUUCCUAAUUCUGUUUUACUUCAUUUAUUCAUAGACUUAAUGUACAUAUUAUAGACAUGAUUUUGCUAAAAUCCAGAUACAUGCAAUAUAAAUGUAUUAUUUAGGAAAAGUGAAAAUUUAUAUAGAAUAAACUGCUAGUAAAAUCUUUAAACAGUAUUAUUGAAAGAUAUAUAUGGCUCACUUUGAUAUGGAAUAAUUUAAGAUAGAAAGGUAAGAAAUGCAGUAUAGUAUCUGAAGUUAAAAAUGAAAAAUACACAAAAUUUAGAUGUGUAGGUUAAAUACAUGGACAGAGUUCUGAGAUAAGCUAAGUACAAAAGUAAUUCAGAUAAUAUGUUCAGUGUGCUGUCAUUUUUAUAAAAAUGUAUGUAUAAUACUCUUUUGUACUGAGAAUGUAUGUUUGUACAGAUAAUGUAGUGCUUGUUUUCUCCAUCAUUUAUACACUGCGAGCUGUGUGUGUGAGUGUGUGGUAUAUCUACAGAUCUAGAAUAUAUGUACUAACUUGCAUCUUUUAUAUAUAGAAAUUUUGUGUCUGGAAUUCAGAUAGAUGAAAGAACUCUAUUUUAUGUUUGUAUUAACAUUAAUAUAUGCUUUAGCAUUACUCAGAUUUGAUUUCCUAAGUUCAUAUUUAUACAGCAAUUUUAUCAUGAAAAAGUAUAUGUUAAAGUAACAAGAAAAAGACUGCCCAGAAAAUUAUAGGCCUGACCAAAUAGUCACAUGAAUAGAUGGAUUCCUGAAUAUCUUAAGGGAAUUUAGUAUUGUUAAAGUCAUUGUAGAUUGAUUCACAAUCAAAGAAUGAUCUAGUCUUCUUACAUAAGUACAUGAAGCCUUGUCCUUUGAGGAAGGGACAGUGACUAUAGUGUAAUGUACCUUGGAGUAGUUUACUUCUUCCUGAAAAUCCUUUGAAUAUACCCGGACUUAUACUGAAGGGUGUCAGUUAUGAAGCUUUAGUCUGAGAUAGAAAGUAUGCUUACACAUGCUCAUCAGUGACACUAGUUACUGUGUGUUCAUCGAAAUACAGAUAACACAGAGCCACCUAACAUUGCUAUACUUUUUUCAGUAUUCAGCUACUGGUUUGGAUUGAGGGCAUAAACAAAGCAGAAGGUUUUUAAGAAUAUGCAUUUUUUAUUUUCAAGUGACUGAAAUAUGUCCUUGAAAAAUCACUAUAGAAACUUUUGUAAAAUUGUAUGAAAAUGAUCAUAUAACUAUGCUUAAUAAAGAAGGUAUUAGAAUUC
rnacentral:lncRNA from 1 species